GCCGUAAACGAUGAGUGCUAGGUGUUAGGGGUUUCGAUGCCCUUAGUGCCGAAGUUAACACAUUAAGCACUCCGCCUGGGGAGUACGGCCGCAAGGCUGAAACUCAAAGGAAUUGACGGGGGCCCGCACAAGCAGUGGAGCAUGUGGUUUAAUUCGAAGCAACGCGAAGAACCUUACCAGGUCUUGACAUCCUCUGCCACUCCUAGAGAUAGGACGUUCCCCUUCGGGGGACAGAGUGACAGGUGGUGCAUGGUUGUCGUCAGCUCGUGUCGUGAGAUGUUGGGUUAAGUCCCGCAACGAGCGCAACCCUUGACCUUAGUUGCCAGCAUUUAGUUGGGCACUCUAAGGUGACUG
rnacentral:rRNA from 2 species